ensembl:lncRNA novel transcript
GACCUCAAACUGAGAGUUAUACCAUUGGCUUCCCUGGUCUCCGGCUUUACAACUUGGACUGAGCCACACUACUGGCUUCUCCGGUUCUCCAGCUUGCAGAAAGUUAUAUGGGACUUCUCAGCCUCCAUAAUCAUAAUAAACAGGAUUCCCAGGAGUGACUUGGUUCUGAAUGACUUGGAAGUCAAAAGGAAGAGUCCGUUUCUCCAGUAACAAAAGUAUGCCUGACAAGAGGCUCUAAGCUGUCCUGGAUGCCAAUCUUUGUGCCGACUACUUUACAGUGAUUGAUUGCUCAUACUUCACGGCAACCCUGUGGAAUAGAUAACAUCAUCAUCCCCCUUUUACUGAGGUGUGGGGAAGUUACCUCUAUUGCCCAUGAUCAUAGUUUAGCUGGCGCUGCUUUAUAAAAGAAUGAAUGAAUAAAUUAAUGAAUGAA